UCCCUUUGGGAAAACUUAGUUAGAAUAAAAUAUGAAUCUGCUGCUGAUUCAGUUGUUAGAAAGGUUGUUUUUAUGCCUUGUUCUGCUCCUAUAAUUUUUAGAUGAUAAUGUGCAUAGAACAUGCAGUCACUAAAAAACUACAUGAACAAAACACAAUAUGCUAUAUACAUAGAGAAAAUGAAGAAAUAAAAUGAAUUUACCUAAGGCCCCCAAAUGUUCGGGAGGAUCAUCAAC
rnacentral:lncRNA from 1 species